GAUGAACGCUGGCGGCGUGCCUAAUACAUGCAAGUCGAGCGAACGGACGAGAAGCUUGCUUCUCUGAUGUUAGCGGCGGACGGGUGAGUAACACGUGGAUAACCUACCUAUAAGACUGGGAUAACUUCGGGAAACCGGAGCUAAUACCGGAUAAUCUUUUGAACCGCAUGGUUCAAAAGUGAAAGACGGUCUUGCUGUCACUUAUUGAUGGAUCCGCGCUGCAUUAGCUAGUUGGUAAGGUAACGGCUUACCAAGGCAACGAUGCAUAGCCGACCUGAGAGAGUGAUCGGCCACACUGGAACUGAGACACGGUCCAGACUCCUACGGGAGGCAGCAGUAGGGAAUCUGCCGCAAUGGGCGAAAGCCUGACGGAGCAACGCCGCGUGAGUGAUGAAGGUCUUCGGAUCGUAAAACUCUGUUAUUAGGGAAGAACAUAUGUGUAAGUAACUGUGCACAUCUUGACGGUACCUAAUCAGAAAGCCACGGCUAACUACGUG
rnacentral:rRNA from 1 species